rnacentral:rRNA from 1 species
UACAGAGGUCUCAACCGUUGUUCGGAUUCAUUGGGCGUAAAGCGCGUGUAGGCGGCUAUGCAAGUCGGGCGUGAAAUCCCACGGCUCAACCGUGGAAGUGCACUCGAAACUGCGUAGCUAGAGUCCCGGAGAGGAAGGUGGAAUACUUGGUGUAGAGGUGAAAUUCGUAGAUAUCAAGUGGAACACCGGUGGCGAAGGCGGCCUUCUGGACGGUGACUGACGCUGAGACGCGAAAGCGUGGGGAGCAAACAGG